GGUUAAGCGACUAAGCGUACACGGUGGAUGCCCUGGCAGUCAGAGGCGAUGAAGGACGUGCUAAUCUGCGAAAAGCGUCGGUAAGGUGAUAUGAACCGUUAUAGCCGGCGAUGUCCGAAUGGGGAAACCCAGUGCAAUUCGUUGCACUAUCGUUAACUGAAUACAUAGGUUAACGAGGCGAACCGGGGGAACUGAAACAUCUAAGUACCCCGAGGAAAAGAAAUCAACCGAGAUUCCCCCAGUAGCGGCGAGCGAACGGGGAGCAGCCCAGAGUCUGAAUCAGCUUGUGUGUUAGUGGAACGGUCUGGAAAGUCCGACGGUACAGGGUGAUAGUCCCGUACACCAAAAUGCACAGGCUGUGAACUCGAAGAGUAGGGCGGGACACGUGGUAUCCUGUCUGAAUAUGGGGGGACCAUCCUCCAAGGCUAAAUACUCCUGACUGACCGAUAGUGAACCAGUACCGUGAGGGAAAGGCGAAAAGAACCCCGGCGAGGGGAGUGAAAAAGAACCUGAAACCGUGUACGUACAAGCAGUGGGAGCACCUUCGGGUGUGACUGCGUACCUUUUGUAUAAUGGGUCAGCGACUUAUAUUCUGUAGCAAGGUUAACCGUAUAGGGGAGCCGCAGGGAAACCGAGUCUUAACUGGGCGUUAAGUUGCAGGGUAUAGACCCGAAACCCGGUGAUCUAGCCAUGGGCAGGUUGAAGGUUGGGUAACACUAACUGGAGGACCGAACCGACUAAUGUUGAAAAAUUAGCGGAUGACUUGUGGCUGGGGGUGAAAGGCCAAUCAAACCGGGAGAUAGCUGGUUCUCCCCGAAAGCUAUUUAGGUAGCGCCUCGUGAACUCAUCUUCGGGGGUAGAGCACUGUUUCGGCUAGGGGGUCAUCCCGACUUACCAACCCGAUGCAAACUACGAAUACCGAAGAAUGUUAUCACGGGAGACACACGGCGGGUGCUAACGUCCGUCGUGAAGAGGGAAACAACCCAGACCGCCAGCUAAGGUCCCAAAGUCAUGGUUAAGUGGGAAACGAUGUGGGAAGGCACAGACAGCCAGGAUGUUGGCUUAGAAGCAGCCAUCAUUUAAAGAAAGCGUAAUAGCUCACUGGUCGAGUCGGCCUGCGCGGAAGAUGUAACGGGGCUAAACCAUGCACCGAAGCUGCGGCAGCGACACUAUGUGUUGUUGGGUAGGGGAGCGUUCUGUAAGCCUGCGAAGGUGUGCUGUGAGGCAUGCUGGAGGUAUCAGAAGUGCGAAUGCUGACAUAAGUAACGAUAAAGCGGGUGAAAAGCCCGCUCGCCGGAAGACCAAGGGUUCCUGUCCAACGUUAAUCGGGGCAGGGUGAGUCGACCCCUAAGGCGAGGCCGAAAGGCGUAGUCGAUGGGAAACAGGUUAAUAUUCCUGUACUUGGUGUUACUGCGAAGGGGGGACGGAGAAGGCUAUGUUAGCCGGGCGACGGUUGUCCCGGUUUAAGCAUGUAGGCUGAUUGUCCAGGCAAAUCCGGAUAAUCAAGGCUGAGGUGUGAUGACGAGGCACUACGGUGCUGAAGUAACAAAUGCCCUGCUUCCAGGAAAAGCCUCUAAGCAUCAGGUAACAUUAAAUCGUACCCCAAACCGACACAGGUGGUCAGGUAGAGAAUACCAAGGCGCUUGAGAGAACUCGGGUGAAGGAACUAGGCAAAAUGGUGCCGUAACUUCGGGAGAAGGCACGCUGGUGUGUAGGUGAAGCCCCUGCGGGUGGAGCUGAGACCAGUCGAAGAUACCAGCUGGCUGCAACUGUUUAUUAAAAACACAGCACUGUGCAAACACGAAAGUGGACGUAUACGGUGUGACGCCUGCCCGGUGCCGGAAGGUUAAUUGAUGGGGUUAUCCGUAAGGAGAAGCUCUUGAUCGAAGCCCCGGUAAACGGCGGCCGUAACUAUAACGGUCCUAAGGUAGCGAAAUUCCUUGUCGGGUAAGUUCCGACCUGCACGAAUGGCGUAAUGAUGGCCAGGCUGUCUCCACCCGAGACUCAGUGAAAUUGAACUCGCUGUGAAGAUGCAGUGUACCCGCGGCAAGACGGAAAGACCCCGUGAACCUUUACUAUAGCUUGACACUGAACAUUGAGCCUUGAUGUGUAGGAUAGGUGGGAGGCUUUGAAGCGUGGACGCCAGUCUGCGUGGAGCCAACCUUGAAAUACCACCCUUUAAUGUUUGAUGUUCUAACGUUGGCCCCUGACCGGGGUUGCGGACAGUGUCUGGUGGGUAGUUUGACUGGGGCGGUCUCCUCCCAAAGCGUAACGGAGGAGCACGAAGGUUAGCUAAUCCCUGGUCGGACAUCAGGAGGUUAGUGCAAUGGCAUAAGCUAGCUUGACUGCGAGCGUGACGGCGCGAGCAGGUGCGAAAGCAGGUCAUAGUGAUCCGGUGGUUCUGAAUGGAAGGGCCAUCGCUCAACGGAUAAAAGGUACUCCGGGGAUAACAGGCUGAUACCGCCCAAGAGUUCAUAUCGACGGCGGUGUUUGGCACCUCGAUGUCGGCUCAUCACAUCCUGGGGCUGAAGUAGGUCCCAAGGGUAUGGCUGUUCGCCAUUUAAAGUGGUACGCGAGCUGGGUUUAGAACGUCGUGAGACAGUUCGGUCCCUAUCUGCCGUGGGCGCUGGAGAAUUGAGGGGGGCUGCUCCUAGUACGAGAGGACCGGAGUGGACGCAUCACUGGUGUUCGGGUUGUCAUGCCAAUGGCACUGCCCGGUAGCUAAAUGCGGAAGAGAUAAGUGCUGAAAGCAUCUAAGCACGAAACUUGCCCCGAGAUGAGUUCUCCCUGAGACUUUAAGUCUCCUGAAGGAACGUUAAAGACGAUGACGUUGAUAGGCCGGGUGUGUAAGCGCAGCGAUGCGUUGAGCUAACCGGUACUAAUGAACCGUGAGGCUUAACCUU
rnacentral:rRNA from 1 species